GGGAUCAUAGCUCAACUGGAUAGAGCAACUGCCUUCUAAGCAGUAGGUCGGGGGUUCGACUCCCUCUGGGCCCACCA
rnacentral:tRNA from 1 species